GUUAAAAUUCAAACGCGCCGUUUCAUGUCCAGUGCCGAAGCCCCCUUAUCCCCUUUCCCCUCCAAAACCCUCAUCUCCAUUCUCUGCAACUUCUCUUUCUCCUUUUCAUGGCUUUCACUUUCACUUCGCAAUUGUACUCUCUUUCUUCUCACCCCAGCUUUCUUUAUUUAAAAUCUUUCACUCUUAAACCCAUCCCUUCCCUUUUGAAAUUCCCAUUUCCCUCUUUCCGUCACCCACCUCCGCUCCUCGCCAUCGGCCCAGACGGUAAAUUUUACCCUACACCGUCCGAAGACGACCCGCCAGAAGCCCGGGAAGACUCUGCUCAUGGAGUAUCAAAGUUCGAUCAAAUCCACAUCCAGGCUGCUCGUGCCCGGAAAAUUCAAGAAGAGGACUUCAAAAAUAAUCAGUCAACGUAUCUCAACGCCAUUGCCGACACCGAGGACCCUUCUGUAAGUUCUAAUUGUGCAAGUGACGAGAACUCUGGGGAUGAUUUGUUUGGUGAGAUAGAUAAGGCCAUUGCGUUGAAGAGGGAAGAGUUUAUUAAGCAAGGACUUAUAAAACCAAGAACCAAUAAAGAAAAUGGAAAUCUUGUUGAGGGAAUCGAGGAAUUAGAGCCUGAAGAAGUAGUCGAUUUAGAUGAGAUUAAUGAGUUACAGGGGCUUAGGGUGGUAGAUACUGAGUCUGAUGAGGAUGAUGCGACUGGUUUUGAUGAGAGUAUCAGGGAAAAGGGCAAAAGGGACGAUCGUGGGUUAUCUUUGGAUCCGUCUUUUGAUUUGGAUUUUGAUAGUUACGGGAAAGGUAAGGCCACUAUUGUAGAACCGAAAUUUAGAAUGAGUUUGGCUGAGCUUUUGGACGAGAGUAAAGUGGUGCCAGUGUCAGUUGCUGGGAAUUUAGAGGUAGAGAUUACUGGGAUACAACAUGACUCGAGAAUGGUGAGUGCUGGUGAUUUGUUUGUGUGUUGUGUGGGGAGGAGAACAGAUGGACAUUUGUAUUUGACUGAGGCUGAUAAGAGAGGAGCUGUUGCGGUUGUGGCUAGUAAGGAGAUUGAUAUGGAGGAGACUUUAGGGUGUAAGGCUUUAGUGAUCGUGGAAGAUACUAAUGCUGUUUUGCCUGCAUUGGCUGCGGCUUUUUAUAAGUAUCCUUCAAAGAACAUGGCUGUGGUUGGGAUAACUGGGACAAAUGGAAAAACCACAACAGCUUAUUUGAUUAAAGGGAUGUAUGGGGCAAUGGGAUUAAGGACUGGGAUGUUGAGUACUGUUGCAUAUUACAUACAUGGAGAUAAUAAGUUGGAAUCACCUAGCACUACCCCAGAUGCCGUUUUGGUUCAGAAUUUGAUAGCUAAGAUGCUAUAUAAUGGGACUGAAGCUGUUGUGAUGGAGACAUCUUCUCAUGGACUGGCUUUAGGGAGGUAUGAUGAGGUUGAUUUUGAUAUUGCAGUCUUUACCAAUUUAACGAGGGAUCACUUAGAUUUUCAUGGGACUGAGGAGGAGUACAAGGAUGCCAAGGCUAAGUUGUUUGCUAGGAUGGUGGAUCCAGAAAGGCAUAGGAAAAUUGUUAACAUUGAUGACCCCAACGCUUCUUUUUUUAUUGCAAAAGGCAAUCCAGAUGUGCCUGUUGUAACUUUUGCUAUAGAGAAUAAAAGUGCAGAUGUUCAUCCUUUAAAGUUUGAACUCUCCUUGUUUGAGACACAGGUUUUGGUUAAUACACCCCAUGGUAUAUUAGAGAUUUCAUCUGGAUUGCUUGGGAGGCAUAAUAUCUAUAAUAUUCUGGCUGCUGUUGCUGUUGGGAUUGCAGUUGGGGCACCAUUGGAGGACAUUGUCAGAGGUAUUGAAGAGAUUGAUGCAGUACCCGGUAGGUGUGAGUUAAUAGAUGAGGAGCAGGCAUUUGGGGUAAUAGUGGACUAUGCUCAAACUCCUGAUGCCUUAUCUAGACUACUUGAUUCAGUAAGAGAGCUUGGGCCUAAGAGGAUUAUUACUGGUAUGCUUCUAAUGCUUCCCACUAACUUACAGCAUUUUCUUUGCAUAAAAUGCUAAACAUCCUCUAAGUCCAUGAUAAUGCAGUUUUUUGUUUAAACGGGAUCUAUAAGUUUUUUCUUUCCCUUCUAUAAACUUGGACUAUUACUGCAGAAAGUAAUGGCCACUUGGUUCAAUGUCAUAUAUGACACAAAUUUCAUUAGGAUUAGAUAGAAAGAUGUGGAGUUUUGUUGCAAUAGUCAGUAUUCGCUGUUGCAGUCCUGUAGUACACAAGUUUUUGUCUACAUCAUUAUUUCUCUUUAGUAGAUACUGUGCACAAAAUUUUGAAAUUCCUCCUAAGGACAACUGUCAUAAGUAAAAUGAUUAUUAGUUGAAAUUUUGAGAUCAUCAAUCCUGAAAUUUCAAAAGAUUUGAUCUUCUGUAUUAGUUCUGUUACUUAAAUAAUUCUUGAUGUUAACGUCACUGUAUUGUUUACUCUGUCCUUGACUUGACAAGAUGGAGUUAUGUUUUAGUUGUUUGUAGAGAAAAUUACCCAUUCAUCUUUACAAGUUUACCAGUGUUAAUUGUUGUGCAACCAGUAAGUUCCUCAAGUAAAUCCAGUUAUUUGUUCUUCUAACCAACUUCAUGCAUUCUAUAAAGUUAUUGGUUGUGUUGGUGAGGGCGACAGAGCUAAGAGACCAAUGAUGACAAAAAUCGCAACAGAUAAAAGUGAGGUGACAAUGCUAACAUCUGACAAUCCAAAGAAUGAAGAUCCAUUGGACAUCUUGGAUGACAUGCUGGCUGGUGUGGGAUGGACAAUGCAGGAUUAUUUGAAAUAUGGCGAGAAUGAUUACUAUCCACCUCUUCCUAGUGGUCAUCGUCUUUUUCUACAUGAUAUUAGACGAGUGGCUGUACGUUGUGCUGUUGCCAUGGGAGAAGAAGGCGAUAUGGUUGUGAUUGCUGGUAAAGGCCAUGAGACAUAUCAAAUUGAAGGUGACAAAAAUGAUUUCUUUGAUGACCGUGAGGAGUGCAGGGAAGCUUUGCAGUAUGUUGAUGAGCUUCAUCAAGCUGGGAUAGACACCAGUGAAUUUCCGUGGCGGUUACCAGAAAGCCAUUGAUAUAGUUAUGGGGUCAGCGGUAUAGUAUAAGAUGUUCAGAGGCUACUCAAUGCCACUAAACAGUUGUGAAUUCUGCUCCUAGUUUGAUAACAAAAUCGGUUUAGUUAGUGUCAAAAGAAGAGUCUCUGAGGGAUUUGUGUCUCUGAUGAUGACAUUGAUGUACACGUACUUGAAGGAAAUUGAUGAAGAGUUUUUCAAAUAGGUUGAUGAGUCUGUGAAGGAAUAUCAAAAAGCAUGAUCCUCUAAAGCAAACUGUCCAAUUUUGUAAGCAUGGAUGUUUUGCCAAACUGGAUGGAUGUGUAAAGCUGAUUAUAAGCACUGCCAAUGUAAAACUAUUCAGUGCUCCAUUCUGUCAGGCAAAUUAAGUUGUAUAUAGUAUUUAAUGAAGACAUCAAUGUGGUGCAGUGUUUGUGAUCUGUAUUCUCAUAUUGUUGUAGGCUUGUAUGUGACAGAAUAAGACCAAAAGAAAAUGAGUGUCCUUAAUAUUUUUUUAUUGUUCGGGUAAGCAGUAAUUGUCCGUCAACAAUGAUGCACCGGGUCAUCAGUUUUCAUGACCUGAUUAACAGUUGUGUUGAAAGAAAGCAGCAGCUGAAAGCAAAAAAUGCUGUUUAAA
rnacentral:misc_RNA from 1 species